CCUACGGGAGACAGCAGUGAGGAAUAUUGGUCAAUGGACGAGAGUCUGAACCAGCCAAGUAGCGUGAAGGAUGACUGCCCUAUGGGUUGUAAACUUCUUUUAUAUGGGAAUAAAAUGUUCCACGUGUGGGAUUUUGUAUGUACCAUAUGAAUAAGGAUCGGCUAACUCCGUGCCAGCAGCCGCGGUAAUACGGAGGAUCCGAGCGUUAUCCGGAUUUAUUGGGUUUAAAGGGAGCGUAGGUGGAUUGUUAAGUCAGUUGUGAAAGUUUGCGGCUCAACCGUAAAAUUGCAGUUGAAACUGGCAGUCUUGAGUACAGUAGAGGUGAGCGGAAUUCGUGGUGUAGCGGUGAAAUGCUUAGAUAUCACGAAGAACUCCGAUUGCGAAGGCAGUUCACUGGACUGCAACUGACACUGAGGCUCGAAAGUGUGGGUAUCAAACAGGAUUAGAUACCCUUGUAGUC
rnacentral:rRNA from 1 species